AUGGAUUAGGGAAAAGCAAAAGCGCAAAAUGGAAAGGCAUUGAGCACAAACCACAGUCGUACUGCUAAUACACAACCUAACUAAGCAAACGGAUCAAAAUUCGAACUUUAUUCGAAGGACCAAAUAUGGGGUAUAGAAAAUUCACUAACCUGAGCAGGUGUUAGGGGACCGUAGAGUAACAUCCUCACACUUCACAACUGAUUACCUUAUUAUUUUCAAGAAAAUGAGUUCACGAUGUGUGCAUCAAAAUAUCAUUAGAAGAAGAAAGAGAAAUCAUCACAUCUAGUUAUGGUGGAUGAAGAAAGACAGUGAAUCUUUGUGUUUUAGAUUUAGAAAUGUUGUGUAAUUCUAUGUAUUUAUUACUCUACUGAAUACUGUUCUCUCAGAAUGAAAGAGGGGGGGAAACGAAAUGUAUUUUUUACUCUACUGAGUACUGUUUGGUAUUUUAUCCUUCCAGCCUUAAAUGAAUUUGGCACAAAUUUCUAACUAGAGAAUUACAAGACUGGAUAAAGAGAUUUUAAGGUUUAGGAUUGGGGCUACACUUCAAUCAAAGAGUAAAUCAAAAGAACGAAAUGAUUGAAUGCAAAAGUAUCAGUAUUUGCU
rnacentral:lncRNA from 1 species